UUGUCGGCUGCAGGUCUCUCGGAGAGGAACGCGCAGCGGCUGAGGAAACAAGACUAGAACCCGUCUCUAUUCUGGCUCCACAGCUUAAAAACUGCGACUGUGAUUCUCUCCUUAUCUCUACCUGGCAUUCUCAUCAACUUAGGGAAUACAAACAUCUUACAAGAAUCAAUUUGAAAAGGACAGACGGCCCUCACAGCCCCCUGUGCCUACACCCCAGUGAUGCUUAGCUGCUGUAUCCCGGAGGCCCAGCUUGACAGCUAGAGGAGAGGUCAUCACCAUGACUGCGUCCUCACAGGACUCCGCCCCCUCGUCUAUGGCUGGCCUCUUCCUACUCCUUCUCCUCCCGGCUGUUUUCACGCAGAACUCCGCUGUCCCAACGACCCCGACCCCAUCCUCGUUGGACCCCCUGACCCAUCCGGAGUGCACAAAGAAAGAACACCCAAAGGUUUCCAUCAGAG